rnacentral:rRNA from 1 species
GACGAACGCUGGCGGCGUGCUUAACACAUGCAAGUCGAACGGAAAGGCCCCUUUGGGGGUACUCGAGUGGCGAACGGGUGAGUAACACGUGAGUAACCUGCCCUUGACUUCGGGAUAACUUCAGGAAACUGGGGCUAAUACCGGAUAGGAAUCCUUGCUGCAUGGUGGGGGUUGGAAAGCUUCGGCGGUUUUGGAUGGACUCGCGGCUUAUCAGCUUGUUGGUGGGGUAGUGGCUUACCAAGGCUUUGACGGGUAGCCGGCCUGAGAGGGCGACCGGCCACAUUGGGACUGAGAUACGGCCCAGACUCCUACGGGAGGCAGCAGUGGGGAAAUUUGCACAAUGGGCGGAAGCCUGAUGCAGCAACGCCGCGUGCGGGAUGACGGCCUUCGGGUUGUAAACCGCUUUCAGCAGGGGCGAAGCUUGUGGUGACGGUACCUGCAGAAGAAGCACCGGCUAACUACGUG